UUGGCUUCCUCACACCAGGGUCCAGCCAUCAGUGCCAGGGAAGGAGUCCAGUUGUCACUGCCUGGGGCACAAGCCCACUCCUUGGGCCAAUCUCUGUCGCCAGAGCAACACCAGGCCUGGGUCACCUGUCCACUCCUGGGUGUUCCCUGCCUUGUGAAGCUGACCCUCUCUGAAAUUCCUGGCUUCAAAAUAAGGGGAAUUUCCAAAAGAAAGUCAGGCCAUAACCUGGCCUUGGUUAAUAAUAAAGGACUCUUUCUUUUGC